rnacentral:lncRNA from 1 species
CUCUCGAACAUGCCUCCAUACUUCCGCUUCUCGAAACAAAAUGGAUGACUUCACCGACAUCAAACCUGCGGAUGCGUAUAGAGGGGAAAUGGUUCUUCCACCUGGCGCGCUGCUGCAGGUCAUUUCCUUCGCGCUCUACAAGUAUGUGUGCAUUACUUUUCAGCCUACCCUCGUAUAAUGAGAAAAAUGGUCUUGUUCAUGUAUAUUUUCACUUGUAUUCGUCUUUUCAAUUGAUGUCACAGAUCUCAUUUUUGUUAUAGGUUUAUAUAACUUGGAUAAUGUUGAAAUUGUGAGGGUACUGCAUUUUUUAGUAAGC